UACGUAGGGGGCAAGCGUUGUCCGGAUUUAUUGGGCGUAAAGAGCGUGUAGGCGGCUAGAUAGGUCCGUUGUGAAAACUCGAGGCUCAACCUCGAGACGUCGAUGGAAAACCAUCUGGCUAGAGUCCGGAAGAGGAGAGUGGAAUUCCUGGUGUAGCGGUGAAAUGCGCAGAUAUCAGGAGGAACACCAGUGGCGAAGGCGACUACCUGGCUGUUCUUGACGCUGAGGCGCGAAAGCAUGGGGGAGCGAACAGG
rnacentral:rRNA from 1 species